AUAUUUGAGCAAAGAAAUUAUUGAUAUUUAGAAUAAAAACUAUUUCGUAAAAAUAAUUAUAGCAUGUAAGAUUUGAAUUCACAACUGAGGCACAACCGCUACAACAAAAAUAAAUUUAGUCAAAUUGAAGCUAAAUUUAAUAUAUAUUGUAAUCUAACACUUCAAAAUUAAUAUUAAAAUACAAAAAUCAAUAAUGUAAAGGGACACGUGCCCCUGACCUCUUAAUAAAUCUACCCUUGCGAUCAAUCACUUUCGUUGGGAUUUGAUCCCUUCCAUCAAACAUCAUUCAUGCUCAUGGUCUUUGAAUUUUCAUCUUAAAUAAAUUGAUUAACGAUGAUAAAUAUUUGGAUAGUUUAACAUAUCCCAUUUGAGAUGGUAUGUUUUGUAACUAUGGAUUUAAAUUUUUGUCAAGACACUAACCCUACAAAACACCUUUUCUAGCCUUUUUCAAGAGCAUUGACAUCUUGUGUUAUUAAAAGGAAUCCUUUAUUGUGUUUUUGUAGUUAUAUUAGAUGUUAUAAUAAAGUAUAUGAAACUACACUACAAGAAAUUUAUUAUUUAGUGAUACUGUUUUAGUGGUGUAAGUAAUUUUUGUUAAUAAAAGUUUGUCUAUAUCGAUGCAAAAAAUAUAUGUCAAAAAAGAUUACUAUCAUUGACAAAUUUUUAAGUUUCGCCACUGUAAGUAUUAGUAACAAUGUCACCAAAACUUAAAUAGUUUUAGCAAUAAAAAUAAAUGUUUGCUAAAACUUUUCAUGAAAUCCCAUGAAAUCCCACAACAUCCCUUUCUCUCUACUUCAUGAAAUCCCAUCCCCAUUAGCCAUCCUCUCCCACUACAAUCCUUUUCAUGGCUACAAUCACAAGCAAGGAGAAAACGUUCUAUGCAAACUCUGACUAACCGAGAUAGAUGCAAGAAGACUUUCCAGUCGGGCCUGAAACCAACUGAACAUAUCUUGCUCAAUCUUUCUUGCUAACGCCUCGGUAAGUCAAGUGGCUUUUGGCUAUCUCCACCUCCAACGUUCGGUGACCGACGACGAUGAACCUCCAUCGACGACAACCUCCAUCCUACCUCUUCAUCUUUUAAUCGACAGCGAACCUCUCCAUCUUCUGAUUGACAGCGAACCCUCUUCAUUUCCAACUCCAUCAACGGCGAACCUCUCAAUCUUCAGACUAACGGCGCCCUGAUCCUCUCCAAACUGUGUUUCUGUCCUUGUCUUCAUUACAAGACGAAACUAAAAAACUGAGUCUAGAGCAUCACUGUUCGGCUUUCGUGGGCAAAACACUUUAAUAUUACUCAAAAUGAGACCACCAGAUAUGAACUUUCAAGAUCUUUGACAUUGUUAUAAUGUUCUCCGUUUCCUUCAGCUUCGACUUCGUGUUCUCCCCGACUAGGCAUUCUCCAUUCUUCGGCUUCAUCUUUGGCUUCGUCUUCGUCUUCUCUCUAAUUUCACCGUACAACUUCGUUCCUCUUCUCUCUUCUUCUGGUACAUCUUCGUCUCUGACUAAGCAUUUCUCUUCGGCUCCCCGUUCCUCUUCACCUUCGUUCUCAGAUUAAAGGAGAAAAGGAAAGUUCAACAAGAGAGAAGGAAGAAGAAUAAGUAUAACCACCGUCUUUCAAGAAAAUGUUAUGCUAAUCUUCGAGAGGAAUUGAAAAAUAACCCUUUAGAAGAAGGUGAUCUUGAUCGAGCAAGCAUGUGGAAAAAGGCUCGUGUAGAUAAAAAAGGAGAAUAUGAGAAUGUAGACGUUCGAGAAAUUAUGAAACGUAUAUUCAAGAAUUAGAGAGUAUUCAGCUAACAGCACAAUCUACACCAACAUCCGCACAUGGUUUUUGCUCUAGACCAAGAUUAGCGUAUGAUAUUCAACGUGAAAAAAAUCGCAAGAUGAGAAAAUGAAUGUCACAACAAAGGUGGCUAUAGAGGAGGUUCCUAAUUAAAAAGAAGUUACUUGUGAGUUUAAUAUAAACAUGCCACUACCUUUAAAGACACUACUAAAAUUUGCCGAAAAGGUGAUGGACAAAGAUUCAAGCAUUCGUUACCAACUACCAAUCUCAUUGUUUGGUAUCGGUAGGAAGACUUGUGUUCUCCGCGAAGAUAUUAUUGAUUUCUGUAACAUACGAGAAGUCAAUACUUUCACAUCGGUGGCAUACAUGGCGGAGGACUGAUACUUUACUCAUUAAUGCUUAUGGAAAAGGCUUGAAGUUAAAUUCGUAAACACCAUCCUUUUAGAGGAGUCGAUAGUUUUGCUGGAAUGGCAUAUUGUGCUGAUUUUAUUCUUCCAAUGAAUUCAGGUUCAGGUUUGGCAUUGAAUAGAAUGAAUGCAAGUGAUGGAUGAGAAUGUAUUCCACAUUUGAUGAGUUUAUUUGCUUUUGAUUUUUUUGAUUAAGCUUUACUAAAAAGUAAAGAGUUGUAUUUUUAACCAAUUUAAAUCAAUUUUCAGACUUCUUUUAUACUUUUUAGGGGUUAACUUUGAGUACAAAAUUGUUGAUAUUUUGAAGGGGAAGCAUUUGACUCAUGGUAAGUUUAAUGUUGUAUGUUAUAUGGUGUAUAUACAACAUAUAUAAUUUUGAAAAUCGAGAACAUGUAUAGUGGUGAAAUUUGGAUAUUGAUCUUUUGAGAUUCUCAAUUUGAUGCACGCCAGUAUGACUAAGUAAUGAACGAGUUGUAAGUUUUCUAUUUUAACUUUUCUCCACGUCCAAAACUUGUGUAUGUGAUAUUAUUAAGUUUCAUCUUAUUAUUUUAUCGUCAUGAUGUUUUUUUAACCUCCUAAUUCUAGUUUUCUUCUUAUUUGUUUUUAUCUUGGUCAUUCUGGACUUGCAGCUGAUGGACAUGAUUUCUUCACUUCAUACGAAGAAGAAUUUUAUGACAGUUUUGAUUUUAUUAGCACAUACAUACUUAAAUCAUUGUGAACUAUGACAAUCAAGGAUGCUCUUACAGUCAUAAUUUGUGAUUGAAUGACUGAUCAUGCUUGAAAAACAUUAAGUUGUGAAUAUCUUUUUGUUUAAUCAUUCAUAGCUAGCAUUACUACCAGUAGGAACACUUGGUAUAAGUUUGAUUAAUCCAUGACUCAGGUAUAGUGCACCUUGUAAUGAGCGGGUAUUUCUUUAUUACUUUUGUUGUUCUUUGCUCGAAUCCAACCUGACUAUUCGAAUAUAUAUUUGAUGCAUGCAGAUCCAGUUAUAUAUACAUGUGCGACAUUUCACUCUUUGAACAUUGUGGAUUAAUCCUUAUGAAUUUUCAAAUGAUAGGAUAAUUAGUCAUUAAAUUAUACUCACGUUGAAAUGCUUGAAAUAUGCAGAUUGCAGCAAGUGUUCACAUCAUCCUCCAUUGCAAGAAAUGUUCGAUCACGACAUAAUUUUAUCUAAUGAUUUGAUGUGCGAAGCAGAAAUCAACCACCAUGAUAUAACAUCAGCAAUAUCAUUUGGAGAUGCUGAAAUGCUUGAGAAUAUGCAUAUUUGAAAGUGGUUGAAGUUUGACAAUACCCUCAUCGAUGACAACGAUGUCGUCAUCGUCAACGAAAAGCUUAAACAAGAGGUGUCACUCAGGCUCCAAAAUGUUGAUUGGUACACUUAAGAAGACUACCAUAAUAUUGAUUGGUAUACUUUUGAGACUAGAUUUAUUGUAGCUAGAUAGUUUUGAGAUAAGUUAGUUGAUUAGGAUGUUGAGUUGAAUUAGUGGCAAUUUGAUGAAGUUAUUUAUAUUGUUUUUGUAAAUGAUCUAAAAUAUUCAUAUA